rnacentral:lncRNA from 1 species
UAAAAAUGUGAAAACAAACAAACAAACAGCUUUAUAAAUAUAGAUUAAGUGACUGUGACUUGGGCCAAACUCAUGUCAAACUAGGGCCAAGAAAAUGACCCCAGAGGGAAUUUCUUAUCUUGUAGUUCUUUUAGAGGAUCACAGGACCAUGUGCUUCAUCUGAUAUCUUGGUCUCUAGGAAACUGAGAACUUGAUUCCUAAGAUUAGAAGAGCAGAGAAGCAUCCAUGUUUAAUUCAGUAGGUCCCACCUCUACUUCCCAUUAUUGGAUAAGCUAAGCCGACACUUUGACGGCCCAUAGAGAUUGCACAUUUCUCCCUCGUUCUCCGCCAGAGAUGCAGUAGUAACAAUCAAUCAAUCAACAAACAUUACCCCAAGUUUGCACCUCCUUGCUCCUGUUAGAAGCACACCAAAAUUGAAGGGACAGUUUUCUGAGAGGAGAGCAAACCCUACGAGAGACAGAUAAAACCGGAGUCAUAAGUAACCCCUGCGUUCAAAUUUCUUUCU